UACGUAGGGACCGAGCGUUGUCCGGAAUCAUUGGGCGUAAAGAGCGUGUAGGCGGCCACUUAAGUCCUGCGUGAAAUCCUGCGGCUCAACCGCAGGCGGUCGUGGGAAACUGGGUGGCUAGAGUGCGGGAGAGGAGAGUGGAAUUCCUGGUGUAGCGGUGGAAUGCGCAGAUAUCAGGAAGAACGCCCGUGGCGAAGGCGGCUCUCUGGAACGCAACUGACGCUGAGACGCGAAAGCGUGGGGAGCAAACAGG
rnacentral:rRNA from 1 species